rnacentral:rRNA from 1 species
UACGUAGGGGGCAAGCGUUGUCCGGAUUUAUUGGGCGUAAAGAGCGUGUAGGCGGCUUUACAGGUCCGUUGUGAAAACUCGAGGCUCAACCUCGAGACGCCGGUGGAAACCGUAAGGCUAGAGUCCGGAAGAGGAGAGUGGAAUUCCUGGUGUAGCGGUGAAAUGCGCAGAUAUCAGGAGGAACACCCGUGGCGAAAGCGGCUCUCUGGGACGGUACUGACGCUGAUGAGCGAAAGCUAGGGGAGCAAACGGG